AUGCGGACGAGUGGUGCUGAUGGUUUCGGUGCGGCUGCUCCUGCUCAUAUCGCCGCCACGACGGCGGUCGCCGCCGAGCACUUGCCUACGGUCAUCAAAAGCCAGGAAAGCGAUCUGCCGCCGGAUCCGGAGCAUGCCUCCAUACUCCCGCAACACGAGUUCGACUCCGAGUUUUGCACCACCGAGAAGUACCAAAAGCUGAGUUGUGUGCACAGGCACACUCCCGCUCGAUGUGUAUGCACGGAGGGAUUCGACAUUGGCAGGCGGUUUCUCAUUUGCCCCUUAGAGGGAUAUGAGGCUUGUGCCUUUGUUAACUGGCUGGAUGAAGAAUGGCAUGGCAGGGCUCGGAGUGUUAUCACCAAGCUCGCAGAAGUUAACUUCCUCUUCUCUGCAUACCCCGGUUAA
rnacentral:rRNA from 1 species